GGAGAAGCCACGCGCACAACAUGUCGAAUGCGAUCAUACCAGCACUAAAGCACCGGAUCCCAUCAGAACUCCGAAGUUAAGCGUGCUUGGGCGAGAGUAGUACUAGGAUGGGUGACCUCCUGGGAAGUCCUCGUGUUGCAUUCUUUUUUUUUGGUUGCAACUUUGCGUACAACGGACGUAACUUUGUCAUACGGAGUCCGAUCGGGACGUUCUUGUACUUAAAACGACCGGAACGGGAUUUUGAUCCGAAAAACACAUAAGUCAGGACCCACUGGGUUCGUCGCGAUAUUCCAGGCACGCGCACAUGCGGCGGUUGCCAACCCAAAAAAGGUCCUAGAAAUCCCCUCGGUGCCUUCGAGGGAGCGCCCAUAAGGAGAAGCCACGCGCACAACAUGUCGAAUGCGAUCAUACCAGCACUAAAGCACUGGAUCCCAUCAGAACUCCGAAGUUAAGCGUGCUUGGGCGAGAGUAGUACUAGGAUGGGUGACCUCCUGGGAAGUCCUUGUGUUGCAUUCUUUUCUUUUGGUUGCAACUGUGCGUACAACGGACGUAACAUUGUCAUACGGAGUCCGACCGAGACGUUCUUGUACUUAAAACGACCGGAACGGCAUUUUGAUCCGAAAAACACCUAAGUCAGGACCCAUUGGGUUUCGUGCCGAUAUUCCAGGCGCGCGCACACGCGGCGGUUGCCAACCCAAGAAAGGUCCUAGAAAUCCCCUCGGUGCCUUCGAGGGAGCGCCCAUAAGGAGAAGCCACGCGCACAACAUGUCGAAUGCGAUCAUACCAGCACUAAAGCACCGGAUCCCAUCAGAACUCCGAAGUUAAGCGUGCUUGGGUGAGAGUAGUACUAGGAUGGGUGACCUCCUGGGAAGUCCUCGUGUUGCAUUCUUUUCUUUUGGUUGCAACUGUGCGUACAACGGACGUAACAUUGUCAUACGGAGUCCGACCGAGACGUUCUUGUACUUAAAACGACCGGAACGGCAUUUUGAUCCGAAAAACACAUAAGUCAGGACCCAUUGGGUUUCGUGCCGAUAUUCCAGGCGCGCGCACACGCGGCGGUUGCCAACCCAAGAAAGGUCGUUCGGGUCCCCGAAAUGCCUUCGGCGCCUUCGAGGGAGCGCCGAUAAGGACAAGCCGCGCGCACAACAUGUCGGAUGCGAUCAUACCAGCACUAAAGCACCGGAUCCCAUCAGAACUUCGAAGUUAAGCGUGCUUGGGCGAGAGUAGUACUAGGAUGCGUGACCUCCUGGGAAGUCCUCGUGUUGCAUCCUUUUUUUUUGGUUGCAACUGUCCUAACUUUAUGAUACGAAGUCCGACCGGGACGUUCUUGUACUUAAAACGACCGGAACGGCAUUUUGAUCCGAAAAACACAUAAGUCAGGACCCACUUGGUUUCGUGCCGAUAUUCCAGGCGCGCGCACACGCGGCGGUUGCCAACCCAAGAAAGGUUGUUCGGAUCCCCGAAAUGCCCUCGGCGCCUUCGAGGGAUUGCCAAUAAGGACAAGCCGCGCGCACAACAUGUCGGAUGCAAUCAUACCAGCACUAAAGCACCGGAUCCCAUCAGAACUCCGAAGUUAAGCGUGCUUGGGCGAGAGUAGUACUAGGAUGGGUCCUCGUGUUGCAUUCUUUUUUUUUGGUUGCAACUGUGCGUACAACGAACGUAACUUUGUCAUACGGAGUCCGACCGGGACGUUCUUGUACUUAAAACGACCGGAACGGCAUUUUGAUCCGAAAAACACAUAAGUCAGGACCCACUGGGUUUCGUGCCGAUAUUCCAGGCGCGUGCACACGCGGCGGUUGCCAACCCAAAAAAGGUCGUUCGGGUCCCCGAAAUGCCCUCGGCGCCUUCGAGGGAGCGCCGAUAAGGACAAGCCGCGCGCACAACAUGUCGGAUGCGAUCAUACCAGCACUAAAGCACCGGAUCCCAUCAGAACUCCGAAGUUAAGCGUGCUUAGGCGAGAGUAGUACUAGGAUGGGUCCUCGUGUUGCAUUCUUUUUUUUUGGUUGCAACUGUGCGUACAACGAACGUAACUUUGUCAUACGGAGUCCGACCGGGACGUUCUUGUACUUAAAACGACCGGAACGGCAUUUUGAUCCGAAAAACACAUAAGUCAGGACCCACUGGGUUUCGUGCCGAUAUUCCAGGCGCGUGCACACGCGGCGGUUGCCAACCCAAAAAAGGUCGUUCGGGUCCCCGAAAUGCCCUCGGCGCCUUCGAGGGAGCGCCGAUAAGGACAAGCCGCGCGCACAACAUGUCGGAUGCGAUCAUACCAGCACUAAAGCAGCGGAUCCCAUCAGAACUCCGAAGUUAAGCGUGCUUGGGCGAGAGUAGUACUAGGAUGGGUGACCUCUUGGGAAGUCCUCGUGUUGCAUUCCUUUUUUUUUUGUUGCAGCUGUUCUAACUUUGUCAUACGGAGUCCGACCGGGACGUUCUUGUACUUAAAACGACCGGAACGGCAUUUUGAUCCGAAAAACACGUAAGUCAGGACCCACUGGGUUUCGUGCCGAUAUUCCAGGCGCGCGCACACGCGGCGGUUGCCAACCCAAAAAAGGUCGUUCGGGUCCCCGAAAUGCCCUCGGCGCCUUCGAGGAGCGCCGAUAAGGACAAGCCGCGCGCACAACAUGUCGGAUGCGAUCAUACCAGCACUAAAGCACCGGAUCCCAUCAGAACUCCGAAGUUAAGCGUGCUUGGGCGAGAGUAGUACUAGGAUUGGUGACCUCCUGGGAAGUCCUCGUGUUGCAUUCCUUUUUUUUUUGUUGCAGCUGUUCUAACUUUGUCAUACGGAGUCCGACCGGGACGUUCUUGUACUUAAAACGACCGGAACGGCAUUUUGAUCCGAAAAACACGUAAGUCAGGACCCACUGGGUUUCGUGCCGAUAUUCCAGGCGCGCGCACACGCGGCGGUUGCCAACCCAAAAAAGGUCGUUCGGGUCCCCGAAAUGCCCUCGGCGCCUUCGAGGAGCGCCGAUAAGGACAAGCCGCGCGCACAACAUGUCGGAUGCGAUCAUACCAGCACUAAAGCACCGGAUCCCAUCAGAACUCCGAAGUUAAGCGUGCUUGGGCGAGAGUAGUACUAGGAUGGGUCCUCGUGUUGCAUUCUUUUUUUUUGGUUGCAACUGUGCGUACAACGGACGUGACUUUGUCAUAGGGAAUCCGACCGGGACGUUCUUGUACUUAAAACGACCGGAACGGCAUUUUGAUCCGAAAAACACAUAAGUCAGGACCCACUGGGUUUCGUGCCGAUAUUCCAGGCGCGCGCACACGCGGCGGUUGACAACCCAAGAAAGGUCGUUCGGGUUCCCGAAAUGCCCUCGGCGCCUUCGAGGGAGCGCCGAUAAGGAGAA
rnacentral:lncRNA from 1 species